CAGAGGGUGCGAGCGUUAAUCGGAAUUACUGGGCGUAAAGCGCGCGUAGGCGGCUUUGCAAGUCGGGUGUGAAAUCCCCAGGCUUAACCUGGGAACUGCAUUCGAGACUGCAUUGCUAGAGUAUGGGAGAGGGAAGUGGAAUUUCCGGUGUAGCGGUGAAAUGCGUAGAUAUCGGAAGGAACAUCAGUGGCGAAAGCGACUUCCUGGACCAAUACUGACGCUCAUGUGCGAAAGCGUGGGGAGCAAACAGGAUUAGAUACCCUGGUAGUCCACGCCAUAAACGAUGACAACUGGAUGUCGGGAGGGUCUGCCUCCCGGUGUCGUAGCUAACGCGUUAAGUUGUCCGCCUGGGGAGUACGGCCGCAAGGUUG
rnacentral:rRNA from 1 species